GGCCUGAUGGUGUAAUGGUUAACAUACCUGCUUGAAUUGACUCUGCGCUUCAGAUAACUUUACAGCGGGAGAUUCCUUGUUCGAAUCAAGGUCGGGCCA